AACGAACGCUGGCGGCAUGCCUAACACAUGCAAGUCGAACGAGACCUUCGGGUCUAGUGGCGCACGGGUGCGUAACGCGUGGGAACCUGCCCUUAGGUUCGGAAUAACUCCCCGACAGGGGUGCUAAUACCGGAUAAUGUCUUCGGACCAAAGAUUUAUCGCCUUUGGAUGGGCCCGCGUUGGAUUAGCUAGUUGGUAGGGUAAAAGCCUACCAAGGCGACGAUCCAUAGCUGGUCUGAGAGGAUGAUCAGCCACACUGGGACUGAGACACGGCCCAGACUCCUACGGGAGGCAGCAGUGGGGAAUAGUGGACAAGGGGCGAAAGCCUGAUCCAGCAAUGCCGCGUGAGUGAUGAAGGCCUUAGGGUUGUAAAGCUCUUUUACCCGGGAUGAUAAUGACAGUACCGGGAGAAUAAGCUCCGGCUAACUCCGUG
rnacentral:rRNA from 1 species